rnacentral:rRNA from 5 species
UGGUGGGUAGUUUGACUGGGGCGGUCUCCUCCUAAAGAGUAACGGAGGAGCACGAAGGUUGGCUAAUCCUGGUCGGACAUCAGGAGGUUAGUGCAAUGGCAUAAGCCAGCUUGACUGCGAGCGUGACGGCGCGAGCAGGUGCGAAAGCAGGUCAUAGUGAUCCGGUGGUUCUGAAUGGAAGGGCCAUCGCUCAACGGAUAAAAGGUACUCCGGGGAUAACAGGCUGAUACCGCCCAAGAGUUCAUAUCGACGGCGGUGUUUGGCACCUCGAUGUCGGCUCAUCACAUCCUGGGGCUGAAGUAGGUCCCAAGGGUAUGGCUGUUCGCCAUUUAAAGUGGUACGCGAGCUGGGUUUAGAACGUCGUGAGACAGUUCGGUCCCUAUCUGCCGUGGGCGCUGGAGAACUGAGGGGGGCUGCUCCUAGUACGAGAGGACCGGAGUGGACGCAUCACUGGUGUUCGGGUUGUCAUGCCAAUGGCACUGCCCGGUAGCUAAAUGCGGAAGAGAUAAGUGCUGAAAGCAUCUAAGCACGAAACUUGCCCCGAGAUGAGUUCUCCCUGAGACUUAGAGUCUCCUGAAGGAACGUUGAAGACGACGACGUUGAUAGGCCGGGUGUGUAAGCGCAGCGAUGCGUUGAGCUAACCGGUACUAAUGAACCGUGAGGCUUAACCUUACAACGCCGAA